rnacentral:rRNA from 1 species
CCCUUAGACGUUCUGGGCCGCACGCGCGCUACACUGACCAGUGCAACAAGCAUCCGUCCUUGGCCGACAGGCCCGGGCAAUCUUUGAACGCUGGUCGUGAUGGGGAUAGACUUUUGCAAUUUUUGGUCUUCAACGAGGAAUUCCUAGUAAACGCAAGUCAUCAACUUGCAUUGAUUACGUCCCUGCCCUUUGUACACACCGCCCGUCGCACCUACCGAUUAAAUGGUCCGGUGAAGCCUCCGGAUUGGCGCGCACCUCGGUGCCGCCGAGAAGUUGGCUAAACCUUACCAUUUAGAGGAAGGUGAAGUCGUAACA